CAGCACCUCAAGUGGUCAGGAUGAUUAUUGGGCCUAAAGCAUCCGUAGCCGGCGCUGUAAGUUUUCGGUUAAAUCUGUACGCUCAACGUACAGGCUGCCGGGAAUACUGCAGCGCUAGGGAGUGGGAGAGGUAGACGGUACUCGGUAGGAAGGGGUAAAAUCCUUUGAUCUAUUGAUGACCACCUGUGGCGAAGGCGGUCUACCAGAACACGUCCGACGGUGAGGGAUGAAAGCUGGGGGAGCAAACCGGAUUAGUUACCCGAGUAGUCC
rnacentral:rRNA from 1 species